rnacentral:snRNA from 14 species
AAACUUACCUGGCUAGUGUUGGGCGGAGAUCCAGCAGCUCGCUCUCAUGGGGUCGAGCAGUUCACUGCACUCUGAGGCUCCGAUGGAGUCAUCCAUGGCAGAAUUUGUUGAGAGACAACUAGCUUGUGAGCUGUUGCCAA